rnacentral:lncRNA from 1 species
AAUUGAGUUAGUUAAAAUUCCAUUACCAUUUUGUGUGUGUGUGGUGAGAGCUUUCGAGAUUUACUCUCAGAAAACUUCAAAUAUACAAUUCAGAAUUGUUAACUACAGCUGCCAUGCUGUACAUUAGAUUUCCAGAACUUACUCAACUUGUUCUAAAAAUUUGUAACAUCUUCUUAUUUUUGCUCCCUCUGUUUGCUUGGCAGCCACUAUUCUACUGUUUCUAUAAGUUUGAAGUUUUUAGAUUCCACAUGUACUUGUAAGAUCAUAGAAUAUUUGUCUUUGUCUGACUCAUUUCAGCAAAUUCCUUCAGAUUUCAUUCAUAUUUUUGCAAAUGACUUGUCUUUUUCUUUCUUUUUUUCUUUUGCAGUGGCGGGGAUUGAACUCAAGGCCUCCCAUCACACAUGCUGGUCAGCCACACUACAGAUCUGCUACUGGCUUCUGACUUCACUGCCUGCCUUAGAAGUGGCAAGCCAAGCAAUCACUUGCUCAACCUUCCUGAGAGCCAGUGAUGGAAAAGAGAAGCAACUCUGGAGCAUGGAACACAAAAGUUUUGGGAGGGACUUCCCAUUGAGGUUCUUUCUUUCCCUGGAGACUCAAUGAUUUUAUGUCUAGUGGUUCAUAAGUUACAAGAUAUCUGGAAUUAGGUGAUCUGACACCCUGUGACUUCUGGCUUUCCCCAAAGACAAAAUGACCAUGGAAGGGAGACCAUGAUGGUGACAUUUGGAAGACCCUGUGUAAGGCAGGGUGAUGUUCCAUUAUUUUUUGUACUUGCUAAAACUCAGAGUUCUGAAAAGUCUGGAUGACACAAUGAAAAGUUUGUGUGCUGAGCAAAAUGUUGUCCAAUUGGCCAAUCCUCUACGUCUUGGGAAAUGUCUAGAAGCUUGGCAAGAAGUUGCUCUCAAGAGAGCACGAAUGCUGCCAAUUUCCAAUUGGCCAAGACACAUUACAAGGACAACCUUCUCUCUGAGCAACCUGGCAUUUCCAUUCCAAUUGGAAUCUGCAAUGUGAAGAUGCACAAGGGAGGGAGAUUAAACAAACGUUUUCAGAUUUCUGUUCCAGCCUCACAGUGAAAAGGUCAAGAGACUCUCUUUGAGAAGCAGCAAGAGCAGAGACGCCCAGGUACAGGGAUGACAGAGUCUUCUUUAGGUCACAAUGAUAGUACUCUGGUUGAUCUCCAAAGCACAAGAUGGCUCCAGGAAGGCUGGAUCCCAAGCAAAAGGCUUCUAGUCUUGCCACUAUGUUCCACUUUGACCUCAGGAGGAAAGAGAACCACUUUUGCAGAGAUCACUGGUGGCUUGAAAAAUUGGAAUGUUAGGGUUGAACUGUUCAACUCUAAUGGGACCCUGAGAA